GGCUGGUCUGAUGGCAGUGGGUUAUCAGAACUUAUUAACAUUAGUGUCACUAAAGUUGGUAUACCACCCCCCCAUUGCUAAAUUUGACUGGCUUUAA
ensembl:misc_RNA Y_RNA Y RNA